rnacentral:rRNA from 1 species
CAAUUCCUUAAGUUUCAGCCUUGCGGCCGUACUUCCCAGGUGGCUCGCUUCACGGCUUCCCUACGGCACCGACAACGGUCGCACCGUGGCCGACACCUAGCGAGUAUCGUUUACGGCUAGGACUACCCGGGUAUCUAAUCCGGUUCGUGCCCCUAGCUUUCGUCCCUUGCCGUCAGGUCCGUUCUGGUGAGACGCCUUCGCCACUGGUGGUCCUUCAAGGAUUACAAGAUUUCACCCCUACCCCUGAAGUACCUCUCACCUCUCCCGGCCUCGAGCCAGACAGUAUCUCCUGAAAGCCUGACAGUUAAGCUGCCAGAUUUCUCAAGAGACUUAUCCGGCCGGCUACAGACCCUUUAGACCCAAUAAUAACGGUUACCACUCGAGCCGCCGGUGUUACCGCGGCGGCUGGCACCGGUCUUGCCCGGCCCUUGCUAUGAAAUGCUUUUUAGGCAUCUCGACAGCCAGAUUUGUAACCUGGCACUCGAGGUUCCCUUAUCGC